GGUGUUGUGGUUCAGCGGUAGAGCACUUGCCUAGCACAUGUGAGGCCCUGGGUUCAAUCCUCAGCAACACAU
rnacentral:tRNA from 1 species